rnacentral:rRNA from 1 species
GACGAACGCUGGCGGCGUGCCUAAUACAUGCAAGUCGAACGCAGUGGGGACGGGUGAGAAACACGUGGGUACUCUCCCAUCAGAGGGGAUAACACUUGUAAAACGGUGCUAAACCGCUACUGAUGGAUUGACCCGCGGUGCAUUAGCUUGUGGGUGGGGUAACGGCUCACCAAGGCCACGAGGCAUAGCCGACCUGGUAGGGUGAUCGGCCACACGGGGGCUGAGAACAGGCCCAGACUCCUACGGGAGGCAGCAGUGGGGAAUCUUCGACAAUGGACGAAAGUCUGACCGAGCAACGCCGCGUGAGUGAAGAAGGUUUUCGGAUCGUAAAACUCUGUUGUUAGAGAAGCGGUAUCUAACCAGAAAGCAACGGCUAACUACGUGCCAGCCGCCGCGGUAAUUC